UACAGAGGGGGCAAGCGUUGUUCGGAAUUACUGGGCGUAAAGGGCGCGUAGGCGGCCUUCUAAGUCGCACGUGAAAUCCCCGGGCUCAACCCGGGAACUGCGUCCGAUACUGGAAGGCUUGAAUCCGGGAGAGGGAUGCGGAAUUCCAGGUGUAGCGGUGAAAUGCGUAGAUAUCUGGAGGAACACCGGUGGCGAGGGCGGCAUCCUGGACCGGCAUUGACGCUGAGGCGCGAAAGCCAGGGGAGCAAACGGG
rnacentral:rRNA from 1 species